AAGAAAACCACGCGAGAAGAUCGUGCAGCUGGAAACAGCUGCUGGCGGUAAAGCGUGAGGCUGACGGCGUGAAACUGGGCAGAGCAGGCCGCGACCUGAGGUGCUUGUGGCGGACAAGAGCCUGGGCGCCGAAGCCCUCGCCGGGUGUUCGUUAACAGGCACAAGGCCAUAGUUAGAGAAAGACAGAGCACGGCCAGGUCCCUUCAAAGCCUCCAGUCGACGAAAGGACUGGUUUAGAACUGAAGGCCGCGAGGAAGCUGUCCCUUCUGGGGUCCACGGGUCGGACGCUGAACAUGCACCAGACAGCGGCCCGCGUCCAGGUCAGCCUUCAGCAGGUCGCGUGGCCCUCCCUGAGUGGCUCCCACCAACGGGCCCAGUGUCCGGCUGCUGAACGAAGCAACUGAGAAACCUGGGAGCGCUGGGAUUUCAGCCAGAGCAGCACCUUGGGAAGAGCCAGGCAUGGAGCCAAAAAGGAGGGAGAUGUUACUAAGGGAAAAAACCAUCCUGUUUGACUUUGAUGGGGAAAAAAAGGAAAGACGAACUGCAUCAUGUAUGGAGGCUUGAACGAUGUAUGUAGGAAAAGAGUGUUUUUAUGGAUAACUGCCAUGGGCAAAACAGCAGAUCUAAUCAAAAGCACUGCACACGUGGAUGUUCCCCGCCUCUGGGAGAAGGGAACUCUUAACAAUGGGCUGGGUUUCAAAGUUUUCCUUCUUCAAUUCAGCAGAGGGUAGACAGCCUUACAAUGCAUAAAAUAUUCCUCACAGCCUCACUAUCCUCCAGAAAAAAAAAAAAAAAAAGACGACUCAUCACUAAGACAAACCAUUAAUUCCAAAUUAAUUCUAAACUAAUAAAAUUCUCUUAUCUCCAUCACACAGGUGAGUUGUGGUGUGAAUAUCCAUGCGGUUCCAUACAUAUGAGCAGCCACGAGUUGUCACUGCUAUCCUCUCUCCCAGCCAAGUAGCAUGGGAAGUGAGUCUUGGCUUUGGGAAACAAAAACGCUAAGAUAAAUUAUCCCCUCAUCUCUUUACCCUCCCUGCCAUUCCCUCUUUUUGUUCCAUUUGAGGCUGAUUAUGCCUAGAUAAGCCCACCCAGGGAAUAAGCAGUAGCAGGCUUCCCAGGUUCAGUGGUAGAGAAUCUGACUGCCAACAGAGGAGAUGGGGGUUCAGUCCCUGGGUGGGGAAGAUCCCCUGGAGGAGGAAAUGGCAACCCACUCCAGUAUUCUUCCCUGGAGAAUCCUAUGGACGGAAGAGCCUGGCAGGCUACAGUCCAUGAGGUCGCAAGAGUUGGACACAGGAGGCCGCCGCAGUUCACGCCUCUAGAGGGCGCUGUACACUCCAGUCUCAGGAAGCCUAAGGAAGGUCACCCGCACAGUGUCUGCUGUUCAUACCGUUUUUGGAAAGUGUAAGCAGUGAACAAAGCUGAACAGGCAGGAGUGGGAGAGGAGUUAUGAGAGGAGGCAGGACAGAGGCGGAAGGAGGAGCAGAGCUCUCCUAGCGUGCUCCACUCGUCUCCAGUGGCAGAAGGUGAUUGUGCUAAUUGGCCCCGUGCUCUGCCCUAUGUGAUGGAAAAACAAUAGCAAUGAAAGCAAGAUGAAACCAGAAAGCAGGAGAUUCUGUAUGGUCAAACACAGCCCUGCACAAGAAUUCUGGGUAUUGGAAGGUCAGAUAAAAAACAAAAUCCACCAGGAAACGUCUUUACCAGACCCACAAAUGGAUGUGUUUUAAAACGGAUCCAUACUCAUCAAUUCUCUUUGACCAAAUAAUCUGACAACUAUGGCGAAUAGUGAUAGUGCAGUUGCUGCAAUCCAGGCACCAUGCUGUGUGUCUGUGUGGGUCACCCCAUUCACUUCUAGCAUAGGUGUUAGUACAUCUUAUGCAUGAAGAGACAGAGACUUGGGGGUGAAAACUUAGCCAAGGUAACACAACCAGUAAGUAGAAAAACUGGGAUUUGCACCCAGCUCAUCAGACCUGUGUCCACAUCCCUAACUACUGUGCUGGUGCCUGCUAGAUGCCAUGCCUCUAGCAAUAGCUGGGGAGGGCGGGGGCAGUC
ensembl:lncRNA